rnacentral:rRNA from 1 species
GACGAACGCUGGCGGCGUGCCUAAUACAUGCAAGUCGAGCGGACUUUCAAGAAGCUUGCUUUUUGAAAGUUAGCGGCGGACGGGUGAGUAACACGUGGGCAACCUGCCUGUAAGACGGGGAUAACUCCGGGAAACCGGGGCUAAUACCGGAUAAUAUCUUUCUUCGCAUGAAGUAAGGUUGAAAGGCGGCGCAAGCUGCCGCUUGCAGAUGGGCCCGCGGCGCAUUAGCUAGUUGGUGAGGUAACGGCUCACCAAGGCGACGAUGCGUAGCCGACCUGAGAGAGUGAUCGGCCACACUGGGACUGAGACACGGCCCAGACUCCUACGGGAGGCAGCAGUAGGGAAUCUUCCGCAAUGGACGAAAGUCUGACGGAGCAACGCCGCGUGAGCGAAGAAGGUCUUCGGAUCGUAAAGCUCUGUUGUCAGGGAAGAACAAGUACCGUUCGAAUAGGGCGGUACCUUGACGGUACCUGACCAGAAAGCCACGGCUAACUACGUGCCAGCAGCCGCGGUAA